rnacentral:rRNA from 1 species
UUCACACGUCAUACAAUGGUCGGUACAGAGGGUUGCCAAGCCGCGAGGGUGGAGCCAAUCCCUUAAAGCCGAUCGUAGUCCGGAUCGUAGUCUGCAACUCGACUACGUGAAGUCGGAAUCGCUAGUAAUCGCAGAUCAGCAUGCUGCGGUGAAUACGUUCCCGGGUCUU